rnacentral:rRNA from 1 species
GAUGAACGCUGGCGGCGUGCCUAAUACAUGCAAGUCGAGCGAAGCGGGGACGGGUGAGUAACACGUGGAUAACCUCCUAUAAGACUGGGAUAACUUCGGGAAACCGGAGCUAAACCGGAUACUUAUCGAUGGAUCCAGGCUGCAUUAGCUAGUUGGUAAGGUAACGGCUUACCAAGGCAACGAUGCAUAGCCGACCUGAGAGGGGAGUCGGCCACACGGGAACGGGGACACGGUCCAGACUCCGACGGUAGGAAGAAGGAGGGAAUCUUCCGCAAUGGGCGAAAGCCUAAGGGAGCAACGCCGCGGGAGGGAUGAAGGUCUUCGGAUGGUAAAACUCUGUUAUUAGGGAAGCGGUACCUAAUCAGAAAGCCACGGCUAACUACGUGCCAGCAGCCGCGGUAAUAC